rnacentral:rRNA from 1 species
UACGUAGGGGGCAAGCGUUAUCCGGAUUUACUGGGUGUAAAGGGAGCGUAGACGGCUUGGCAAGCCAGAUGUGAAAGGCUGGGGCUCAACCCCAGGACUGCAUUUGGAACUGUCAUGCUAGAGUGUCGGAGAGGCAGGCGGAAUUCCUAGUGUAGCGGUGAAAUGCGUAGAUGUUAGGAGGAACACCAGUGGCGAAGGCGGCCUGCUGGACGAUGACUGACGUUGAGGCUCGAAAGCGUGGGGAGCAAACAGG